rnacentral:rRNA from 1 species
CUUAACCCUUCAUGCUUUGCAUAUUUGUGCUCUUGGGUGUACUUGCCCGUGUGGUUGGUUAACAUCAAUUUUGGUGGUCAUAAAAUGACUGGAGGAAUGUAGCUUCGAUCUUGUAUUGAAGUGUUAUAGCCUUCGGUAGAUGUGAUGAUCGAGAUUGAGGAUUGCAACGGAUACCCUUCGGGGCUACCUGUCUGGUCUCUGAUCGUUGCUCUGGUGCCGAAAGCUUGCUUACGGUUAUCAAAGUCGAUGGUCAAUAGGUUAGAAUGGGUUAAAUUCGUUAAGGAUGUUGACGUAA